GUCUCGGUGGUGUAGGGGUAGCAUGCGGCCCUGGUAUGGGUGAAGCACGGGUUCAACUCCCAGCUUGGGUCG